rnacentral:lncRNA from 1 species
AAAAAGGAAAUAAGCUAAAGAGAUUUGGGGAAAACGUUUUGAGCAGCCACUUUUGAGAACAAAAACAGGCUUGCGCCUCUCUUUCGAGUGAAGGAGCAUGAGGAGAACACAACGCAAAUUCAUACGGAGGAAGAAUAAAAGAAAUUAAACAGGAACAAAAGAAGAAUAAGAAGAAAGAAGAGAAGAAUCAAAGAAAUGAAUUUUGGCAGAAGCUAUGAAGAUCAUUUAUUCCAGGAAGCUUUCACAAACCUUCUUUUGUUUUUGCAAUUAAAGUGGACGUGAUUAAAAAGGGGGAUUGAGAAUUGUUUUUGGCAUCGAGGUUAUAAAGAAUAAAGAAAAAAAGGAAAUUCUUGGCUCUUCUUCAGUAACGCCUCACGCAGGGGAAACAAAUAGAUGGAAAACCAAGCUCGGAAAGGUAAUUCUCUAACCCAUGAUCAUCAAUUUGACUUUUAUAUAAUAUGGGUAAGCUAAAUUAUGGACUAGUUGAAUUAUUCAUAGCAUGGGUAAAUACAAUUUGACGAAUUUAGUUUCAAAUAUGAAACCCGAGGGCUUAGUAUUCUAAAUUAGCUAUAAAUUAGCUUAAGUAAGGAAAUUAACAUGAGAUCGAUGUUGAUGUGAUUAUAGAUUGAUUAAAGGAUGUC